UACAGAGGGUGCUAGCGUUGUUCGGAAUCAUUGGGCGUAAAGGGCGUGUAGGCGGUUUGUUAAGUCAUGUGUGAAAUCCCUCGGCUCAACCGGGGAACGACGCAUGAAACUGGCAAGCUAGAGUACCAAAGAGGGGGGUGGAAUUCCAGGUGUAGCGGUGAAAUGCGUAGAGAUCUGGAGGAACACCGGUGGCGAAGGCGGCCCCCUGGUUCGAUACUGACGCUGAGGUGCGAAAGCGUGGGGAGCAAACAGG
rnacentral:rRNA from 1 species